rnacentral:sRNA from 4 species
GCAGGUGAAUGCAACGUCAAGCGAUGGGCGUUGCGCUCCAUAUUGUCUUACUUCCUUUUUUGAAUUAUUGCAUAGCAUAUUUAAUUCGAAAUACGCCGGCUAACUAGCCGGCUUUU